AUGUCAGUUGGUGUCAAAGCGGUGACAGACAACAGUAGCGAAACCUCCUCAUCAUCAACACACUUCAAGAGGAAGAAGGCACGCAAGACUAUUGUAGAAGGUCCUCGCCGCAUGACGCGCAACCAAAAGGAGCAUACAGAGCAAGUCCUAGCUGCAAAUGAAACUCGUUCGGUUGAGGAGCAAUUAGCCAACCUUACGGCAGCACUCCAGCAAAAGGAAGACGAGCUAGAAGCCCUUCGUAUUCAUAUGAGGAAUAACCAGAACAAAGGAAAUGAAGGGGAUAGUGGUGCAAGUUCUAGCAGCCAACAUGGAGGAGCAGGGCUUAACCUUGAGGCGAUCCAAAGGAUGAUCGCUGAGGGGGUAAAGUCCCAGUUAAUGCAAACUCAGUACUCGAUGCGGCCAGGGUAUGUUAAGCCAUACCCACCCGAUGUGGACCUAGUUCCUUUCCCAACAAAUUACAGACAACCGCAGUUUAGUAAGUUCAAUGGGAGUGGAUCUCCCCAUGAGCAUAUAGCACACUUCCUUGCUACUUGCCAACAUACAGCCAUCAAUGGAGCACUUCUCCUUAGGCAGUUUGUACAGACAUUGUCUGGGCCUGCCUUCACCUGGUACAGCAAGCUACCUCCAAGCUUUGUAAAAACGUGGGAACAAAUGCAAAACUCAUUCCUCGAGCGGUUCUAUAGCACGCAGAGGACGGUGGGCAUAACUGAGUUGACCCAAACUGAACAAGGGUUCAACGAGAAGGCGGCUGACUUCAUAAAUAGAUGGAUAAACCUAAGUCUUCACUGCCCACAGCCCAUCACCGAGCCAGAAGCAGUGUGUAUGUGCAUGAACAAUCUCCGCUUGGAAGUGGCUGUCCAGUUACAAGGGGUAAGGCCCCUCAUGUUUGAAGAGUUAGCUUCAAAAUCCACGGAUAUAGAAAAUUAUAUGCAACUUGUCGCUCGUCGAACAAAAAUGACGUUCAACAAGCCUACAGACAAAGGUGGUCAGCGUGAAAAGUUGCCGUUUCAGCCCAGAAGAGCACCUAUAGGGUACCAAGGACAGCGAGAUGCACAGGUCGGCAGGAGGCCAACUCUCAACGAGCGACAAAACAUGGAGUAUUCUUUUCCUGUAGAAGAAAUUGAUGACCUUUUCACUGGUUUAAAGGAGUUGAGUCUUAUAGAACUUCCCAAGCCCAAAAGGCCAGAAGAAGCUUCAAAAUGUAAUGACCCAAAUUUCUGUCACUACCAUCACAUUUUGGGCCAUACACUCAAAGAUUUCUUUGUUGUGAAGAAUAUCAUACAGAAAAUGAUCGAUGAGGGGACCAUUGAUACGGACCUCCUCAAAAGCUUAAAGAAAGGAAAGAAGAUGGCUACAGCAAAUGUUGCCACUCUUCAAGAUAGCUCGGCUUCCUCCCGUGCCUCGGUCAUAGGACCACGUCCCAGGGUCAGCGUCAAAGAGAGGCUCACAUUCCCUGCAGCCGUGAUGGAUGGCCCAGUGUACCAGCUUCUCAAGAGCCCCAAGACUGCAGGGAGUAGCAGCCAAAACACCGUGCACUACCCCGAGUGA
rnacentral:rRNA from 1 species